AUUGAACGCUGGCGGCAGGCCUAACACAUGCAAGUCGAACGAGUGGCGGACGGGUGAGUAAUGUCUGGGAAACUGCCUGAUGGAGGGGGAUAACUACUGGAAACGGUAGCUAAUACCGCAUACCAUCAGAUGUGCCCAGAUGGGAUUAGCUUGUUGGUGGGGUAACGGCUCACCAAGGCGACGAUCCCUAGCUGGUCUGAGAGGAUGACCAGCCCACCUGGGAAGGAUGUAGUGUCCAGCGUCCGACGGUAGGCAGCAGUUUGGGAUAGUGCACAAUGGGCGUCAGCCGUAGUGAUCCAUGCCGGGUGUAUUAAGGAGGCCUUCGUGUUGUAAAGUACUUUCAGCGGGGAGUCGUUACCCGCAGAAGAAGCACAUGCUAACUCCGUGCCAGCAGCCGCGGUAAUUC
rnacentral:rRNA from 1 species